UUCAGCUUGGGCAUUCAUGUAGAGGAUGGGGUGGAUUUUACACAGGUAACAACAACAGAAAGGCCAGCAAGCACUCCAGCCACAGCAUAUGCUCAAGCAAAACAUACAUCAACGCUCAAACAACUUAAACUGAGAGCACUAAAAAAAGAAGUUAUUGAAAGCCUGGAGAAGAGGGUUCCAUGGUGACAACAUAAAGACAGAGAACUUCAAAAUCUUCCAUUUGGGUUCCUAAAAGUCCAUCUACCCUUUUCAGGAGGGAUUUGCACAGUAUACAGCUCCAAAGAGCCCAAGAGCUGACAGAGGAAAAUGGCAUCCAGCAGCACAGGGCAGCCUCGGCAGCCCAUCAAGAGCAAAACCACAUAAGAGAGCCAGAGGCAGAUCCAGAGCUGCCAACACAACUGCCUACAAAAGCUGCCAAGGAGACAGAAGCUGCUUGUGGGAAAAUAUCACUUAGUCUUAGCAUCUGGGUCCUAUGAUUAUUAUCCAAAGAGAGACAGAGUGGUAAGCUAUGGUGAGAUAAACAGCACCUCGUUCCUCCUUUACCCCGCCACCCCCACACACCUCUUUUCCCCCACACUAGAUACACCUGUAUAAUUUCAAUUUUGGCUGUGUUUUAAAUCCAUUUCUGCAGACAGGUUUGGUAAAGGGACACUUGCCUACACUCAGUGUAUGAGACAUAGUAGGGCUAUUUGUUACUGUUGUUGUUAUGUUUGUCCUGAAAUGUAAGCAUGUUUACAGUAGAAAUGAAGUCCCAGCUCUCUUGCAGGUAAUCCCGGGGAGUCUAAAAGGCUCAAGGGAAUCCCUAACCGGGAUGCUUUAAAAUGAACUUCUGCUCCUGUCCAAAUACAUUAAAACAGGGUCAAAUGUUUAAUUUGAUUUUUCCUCAUCUUCGGGAAGAAAACAGACCCCAAAUCCCUAAAAGUUCUAGGAUCAAUUCUCUCCUCUAUCUCACUUAUUAUUUUUUUUCUGAAAGGGAGAGAGGACAUAGAAAAAGAAGGGUGCUCUACCCACAUGUCGUUUACAGUAUGUGAAAAAGAGAAAUAAUGUUUUUGCUGGCUAGUAAAUAAGGCAAAGUAUUUGCUCUCUAAGGUGACACAUGCAACAAUAACAACCAAAAAACAACUUACGGUAAUAUAAAGGCUGGAGAGAUGUUAUGGUUAGUUAAUAGGCCCUAACUUCUCAGAGUUAUAUCCACAGUUGUGCAGACAAUUUUGCAAUCACAAGCUUUUAGAUCCAUACGUUUUCAUAUUCAAGCUACUUCUUCACUCUGUGGAAGAAAAUGAUUUCUGUUUUAAAAUAUAUGGUAUUAUCUUCUUACAGUAAAUUCAUGUUUUUUUCUUCAGAACUUUAUUAGUAGAGCUUCAGUAUAAUCUGUGCUGUUGUCAGAACUGCAAUGAAUACAUUGCAAACUAUUGAAACAAAUCAGGACUGUCACUCUACUUCAUUAUAAGGAGAGUUCAUUUAUAUGUGUGAUCCCCAUAAAGGGGUUUGCAACAUAUCUGUAGAGUGUGGAGUCACAAUUCCAAAUAGCAUGAUAUGUAAAAUGCAAUCUAUUGGUAUGUUUUGAAAAAACUCAAUUUUGCUGAACUGCAUCUGAAAUGAUUAAAGAAUAUAAGUAGUUAUUUUAGUAUAUAUUUUGAAGUUGGGCAAAUCUGUGUGGGUAUGCAUACAGAUUCAAAUGUAGUGUUUUAAAGUAAAAGUAUAGAAUAUUUUUACUAAAUGGUAAGUAUUUCCAGUGAGGAAUAAGGGUCUUACAUUAAUCUAAACAAAAACCAUAGGAAUAUCUGUGAUCCACACAUACAUUUAAGAGUAUAACUGGAAGAAAAUAUCCAAAGGAGACUAACCAAUAACAUAAGAGGACCUACAGCCUGGAGUUACUCUAUAAUAACCCAAGAAUCAUGGAUUUAAUGCCACAAUCUGUUUUUUGUUUUGUUUUGUAUUUUUAAUUCUCACCAAAAGAAGAUACUUUGAUUCUAAUGAUGGACUCUUUUGAUUGAUGGACCAUUUGAUAGAAUGUUACUGAGAGAUUGUUAUUUCUGUUCCCGUGUAAACAAGUACAUUCCAAAACCCAUUUAAAUUUAUAGUAUUAUUUAUACCAUUAUUAAGCAAAAUGGCAAAAAUAUUAUUAAAUUGUUCCAUCGCUUCCCUUUUUAUUAUAUAAGAUCAAAAUUCAAUAUGAACAUGUCUAAAUGCAAAGCGAGGCUCAGUUCUUAGAGAAAGCUAAUGUAUAUAUGACUGGCAUUAGUCAGCCUUACCCUGGAAGACAAAAGGAGAAGUAAAUGUGAAAAUAUGUUGUUUUAAACAAAGAAAGGGUUUUAAAACAUCAUUUGUGGGUACUGCUUGUGCUUUGUGAAUGCAGCUUUAAUAUUUUUAAAAGAUGAGUAUGAAAGAUUGAAUUUGAUAUUUCUGAGCAUGUUCAUUUCGAAAGAACAUAUCAGAGGCAACAUAGUGUAUAUAUCAGAUGGUGCUGUGGGUUACUGUGUUCUCCAUUAAAAAGAAAAGUAAAUAGUCAUAUAAAAUGUGUUCAAAAGGCUAGAGUUCAAGUCAGACCUGUUCCUCUUGUAUGCUUUAAUAAGCAUUAUUUUUUAAAGCCACAGUGUAGUUUAAAAAAAGCCACAGGAUUUUUUAUUUUUUAUAUAAAGAUUCCAUAUAUCAGCAGGUUUUACUUCUUUUUUUUUGCAGUGGGAAGUGGUCCAUAUUUGGUAUAUUACUUUAUUCCAAUGAUUUUGCCUCCUUUAAGUUUUGUUGGCAUGCAGAUCUUGCCUGCAUUCUAUAAUUUCAUAUUUCAUUCCAUUUUAGUUACAACAAACCCUGUAUGCAAGCUGCAUCGUGAUAUUAUUUGCCCUUUAUUUUCUGAAAGUCUUGCACAAUUUCUUGAAUGCUGGAAUAUACAUUUUUAAUAAGCAAUUGUUUAAUAAGACAAAGUUUGAGCACUCAGGCCCAAAUGAUCCAAAUACAACAUGUCAUUUAAAUGGUUGGUUUAAUUAGCAAUACGAGGUAUCUUAGUUUACCAUUUUAUAAGUAGCCUCUAUCAUUUAACCCUUUAAUGUCUUAUAGUUCUGUUACACUAGAAGGGUAAAAAGAAAACUGUAUAAAUUCUAUUUAGUAAAGCCAAUAAUGUAUAUUCACUUAAGAAAAAAUAUUUGAAAAUUGUUUUUCUCCCUCACAUACAUUCACAUGUAUAGAAAGAUCACUAUGCUUUUAAAGAGUCAGACAUUUCUUUUUCCUUAAGACACCAGCUGAAACUACAGAGAACUAGUUAGGUUCACACAUUCUAUGUUCAUCCUGUAUUCUCUGAAAGAACUGUCCAAAUUGUAUUAGGAUUUGCUUAUAAUGAUGUUAUAUGAUGUCCUUGUUGUGAUACCUGCAUAUGUGGAGAACUUAAUAUUGAUUUACUGUGUCUUUUGCCUAUCCUUGAGCAGCAUAGAUAGCAAUUACAGCUGCUGGUGGUAUCU